rnacentral:lncRNA from 1 species
AUGAGAGACUGCAGCCCAGAAACCCUUUUUCUCUACAUUUGGCCAGAAUGGCAGGACCUCCUAUCCUACAAACUGCCCAGCUUAGCCUUCCUGCACAGAGCCCUGUGUCUCCAGAUUCUAAAUACUCCUGAUGUGCACGCUGACCAUCUUUAUUUCCACCAUCCUGGUGGAAACCACCCUUCAGGACUCAGCUCAUACGUGAUGAGACAUCUCCCUGCUCUGGACUCAGCUGCCUGGUCUGUUUCUACCAUUGACCCAUCACACCAUAUGGCAUAUAAGAAAAUUGAGGCUCCAGACAGUUCAGUGACUGGUCUGAGGUCACACAACGAACAGGAUUCCAACAAGGUAGCUCCCUUAACCCCAUCAAUGUUUCCAUUUCAUACGUAGAUAAGUAAGAGGAGGAGGUUAAUUAUGAUUAAACAUCUAUUUUAUUUGCUUUAUGAUGUAGAUCUGUGCUUGGUGGUUUCUACAACAAAUUAUUUAAUUUCUAAUUCUGGAAAAUAAGCUCUAUGAUUUUAUCCAUCUUACCAAAAAUGAGGCUCAGAGAGUAACCCCCAAGGAUAUCCAAACAACAUGCCACCAGGCUGAGAUUUGAAGCCAGAACUUUCUGACUCUACACUAGGCUCUUUUCAUUCUUCCGUGGGAUGAGGGCUGCCGUAGACAAAGAUCUUCAAGGCACCAUGGAGCAAGGAAUAACUAACCCGUGAGAGUCUGGGGGGAUGGUGAAGAGCAGUGACCUAGUCUAAACUGUGAAGACAAAAAAAAAAAAAAAAUUUAGAUAAUC